AUUGAACGCUGGCGGCAGGCCUAACACAUGCAAGUCGAGCGGAGCGGCGGACGGGUGAGUAAUGCAUAGGAAUCUGCCUGGUCGUGGGGGAUAACGUCCGGAAACGGGCGCUAAUACCGCAUACUAUCAGAUGAGCCUAGGUAGGAUUAGCUAGUUGGUGGGGUAAAGGCUCACCCAGGCGACGAUCCGUAACUGGUCUGAGAGGGUGAUCAGUCACACUGGGACUGAGACACGGUCCAGACUCCUACGGGAGGCAGCAGUGGGGAAUAUUGGACAAUGGGCGAAAGCCUGAUGCAGCCAUGCCGCGUGUGUGAAGAAGGCCUUCGGAUUGUAAAGCACUUUAAGUUGGGAGGCGUUACCGACAGAAGAAGCACCGGCUAACUUCGUGCCAGCAGCCGCGGUAAUUC
rnacentral:rRNA from 1 species